UUGGCAGCUUGAAGUCAGCUGUGGUGGAAGUAUUUAUAUCUUUUUUUCUUCUGGGGAGCCAGUUGUUAAGGAUUUAUCAGUGUAUCACUGGGUUGAUGUAUGUUUAACUUUUUAAGAAACUAUCAGUUUUUCAAAGUGGCUGUAACAUAUAUUAUUUCCAUCAGUGUUGUAUGAGAGUUCCAAUUGCUCUACAUCUUCUCCAACACCUGGCUGUUGUCAGUUUUUAAUUAUAGCCAUUCUGGUAAGUAUUAGGUGGUAUCUCAUGGUAGUUUUAAUUUGUGUUUUUUUGGUGACUGAUGUUGUUUGAGGGCUUUCAGAUGUACUUAUUGUGGUCAUUUGCAUAUCUUUCACAUAGUGUUUAGUCUUUGGCCAUUUCUUAAAAAUGAGGUUGGUUGUCUUUUUAUUAUUGAGUGGCAGGAGUUCUUUAUAUAUUCUGCAUAUAAGCCCUUUGUCAGGUAUGUUUUUCUGUGAACAUUUUCUCCUAGUCUGUGGUUUGCCUCUUUCUUGAUGGCAUAAUGUUUUGUGAACACACAUCUGAAAUUUUGAUGUCAUACAGUUUGUCCAUGUUUUAUUUACGAUUCUUAUUUUCUGUGUCCUAAGUAAUCCUGUUGUGUUUCUUCUACCUGGACUGGCCUUCCCUGAUGCCUCUGUCUGAAGACCUACCAUUCUUCUUGGCCUAACAUAAAGGUCAGCUCUUUCUGAAGCUUCGAGCAGCAGUAUUCUCAACUCUGUACCUCCACUUAGGUCAUACCUCUCUGAUCACCCUAUGAUAUAGUUGUCUCCUUAUGGGUCUUUCCCAAAUGUGAUUGGGAGCUCAAAUUGUGGAUGCUACCCCCAGAAUCUGAAUUUUGAUCAAUGAGCAGUUUUCUAAAUGUUUGCUUUUGCAUCUCUCAAAUGGUUGCUAAAGUGGUCUGUGAUCAAGUCUUCCAUAGCCUAUCGGUAAAUAGGCAACUAAGGGAAUGGGUUCCGGCCAGAUUGGCAGUCCGCCCCAUACAGACUCAGAGGUGGAGAACCAACGUGAUGGAGAGCGCCCCCCCCUCCCCACAUCCUUGUGGCAGUUCCCGUCUGAAUCUAGCGGCAAGAGUAGCGCCGCCCUGAGCAAGCCUCUUCUGAGUCCAGUUUCCCCCGUGAAAAGCUGGGAGUACCAAUACCUGCUCCCCUAACUCCUCUGCGUCUUCUCAAGAAUGUGUGGAUAGAGUGAGCACCCGGUACUGUGGAAACUGCUCACAGCUGUAUAGACGCACCGGGUGCAAGCCAAGAGGGACUCCCUUCAGCCUUCUUGCCUGCCUUCGUUCACGCGUUCAUUUAUUCAUCCCACCUUAUUCAGCACCUAGUGAGCCUCACGGAGUUGAGAAAGCCCUCUGAGCCUCUGUAUCCAGACGUCCAAGGGUUAAGCAGGCGGCGCGGGCCCCUGCGUCCCCGCCCCGGCCACCCCGGCGUGGGGAAGGCGGGAAGGCGGCAGCGGGUGCCAAAGUCAGAACCUGCUGGUCGGCAGCUCCCGGCGCUGCCUUGACUCGGGGCCAGGCCUGGCGCGGCCGCCGGCUGUGGAAUGUGUUAGCGCCAUGUGUCACCGCCCCAGACUGUGGGAAAACGCUGCUCCGCUCACCUCCCAGCAGCUGCCCCGCGCCCGCCCGGGCUGAGCCGGGAAAUGGGAGCUGCCUGCCGCCAAGGCCCCCGGGGCAUUUCGAGCCUCUGCGGGGCCCACACCCACCGGCGCCCCGUCUGCUCCUGGGACCAGCGAGGGAUGGGGCAGCCCCAUGGGGCCUCUCCUGCCCUUCAGAUUCCGGCGGAACGAUCUAGUCUCUUUCUGUUUAAUUAGUGUUCUGCCAGGGGCUGUGGAGACAGAGCCAAGACUGGACACCGAGAAGCAAAUGUCUGGGUGAGUGCAAGAACGACUUUCCCUGGCUGGUGAAUUUCCUUGAUGGUGAACUCUCUCAGGCUCCCUUGUCCUGCUGCUCCCUCUGGGAAGCCUCUCCUAACUGCCUUGAGAGGUUCUGAGAAAUGGUCAAGGACUUGGCCCUGCAGCCACAGAUGAAAUCACCUGUGGAUCCCAAAAGUUUUCAACAAUGAAGGCAGAAGAGGCCUUGGGAAGGCAGAGUGCUGCUUCCAUGAACCUAGUGGGCCACAGAUGGACUGCCAGGGCUCUAUAAACUCUCUAAAUUGUAAGGAAAAGCCAAUGGUCUUUCUCGAACAUUCAGGAAUAGGAGUCCUUGUUCUCUCCAUGCUGAGCCCUUGAUAUUCCUGAGGUGGACUGAGAUGUUCCACCUUUAAAAUCGAAUAGUAGUGGCCUUUCCCCCAAUUCAGGUUGCUAAUAGCCUGGCAAGUCCACGGAGAGCCUGGAGCUCUCAAGAUCGGCUCUUAUGUACAGACACUGAGACAGAGAGGCCAGGGGCUGUUUGCCAUCUCCUUCCUCACACUCUCUGGAAAUGCUUGUGAGCAGCGAACAACAUUUUAUGAUGUACUUUGCUGCAUUAACAAUUGAACAGAAUAAUUCUGUUACCUCUCAUAAACUAGAAAUAGUAGACAAUCUAGAUAAAAAGAAAGACAAUAAAAAUCAUUUAUAAAUUCAUCAUCUACAGAUGACAAUCUGGUGUUGUCCAUGCAGACUUUUUUCCUCAGUGUAUUUCAUAUUUCUGUGGCUAGGGGAGAUACAUACACACAUCUGUACAUGCAUAUAUGCAUUUUGUCCUCUGCCUUUUUUACCCAGUUAUUUUCUCAAUGAGCACAAUUAUAAAGUAAAUCCAAUUAUUCAA